rnacentral:rRNA from 1 species
AUUGAACGCUGGCGGCAGGCCUAACACAUGCAAGUCGAGCGGAUGAAGGGAGCUUGCUCCUGGAUUCAGCGGCGGACGGGUGAGUAAUGCCUAGGAAUCUGCCUGGUAGUGGGGGAUAACGUCCGGAAACGGGCGCUAAUACCGCAUACGUCCUGAGGGAGAAAGUGGGGGAUCUUCGGACCUCACGCUAUCAGAUGAGCCUAGGUCGGAUUAGCUAGUUGGUGGGGUAAAGGCCUACCAAGGCGACGAUCCGUAACUGGUCUGAGAGGAUGAUCAGUCACACUGGAACUGAGACACGGUCCAGACUCCUACGGGAGGCAGCAGUGGGGAAUAUUGGACCAUGGGCGAAAGCCUGAUCCAGCCAUGCCGCGUGUGGGAAGAAGGUCUUCGGAUUGUAAAGCACGUUAAGUUGGGAGGAAGGGCAGUAAGUUAAUACCUUGCUGUUUUGACGUUACCAACAGAAUAAGCACCGGCUAACUUCGUG